UUGAAAUCCCCAGGGGGCACCAUCGUAACCUUCCCUUGUAAGUACCAAAUGUUUAGACUUUCGAUGGUAAAAGUACCGGUGGUUAUUGGACCAGAGACUGCACAAGCCUUGGACUCCCGCAUAGAGAAAUACAAUUUGUCAUAAAAUCCAAACAAUAAAUUGGCUCUUACUGGUAAUGUUAACAUAUCACAAACUGUGGAUUUCAAGUUGAACAAUAUAAAUCCUAAAGCUAUUAACCAUAAAUAACAGUUUGGAUAACCUAUACCAAAGAUUGACAAUAUCUUAUUGUGUUCAAUCAUUGUUGAAAGAUAUGGGGAUCUGGAUUUGCAUAUAUUGUUUCAAUAUGGGAUCACAUCAUACCAUAUGGUUGGCUUCUAUAUUUGCGCAACACACUUACACUUACACAUUUCACUAUACUGCCUAUGAUCGCAUAACUGUCCCAUAUGAAUAGGAAACCCAGCAAAUAUGGGACUGAUAUGCGAUCAUAGGCAGUAUACGUAACAUUAGCAUAACAGCAUGACAAAGAGUAGGCAGUAUGUUUGUGUUUGUGAACGACUAUAGGGCAGUGCAUGAAAUUAUCUCCUUCUCUUUCACUCUUACAGAAAUUUUGUAAAUAACAAGGCCACGAAACGUCAAAAUCCCAUACAAAAUCAAAACAGUGCAGUGCCCUAUAUUCCCUAUGUUUUGCUGCAGGCUCUCGUAUGUUCUGUCAUUUCUCACAUAAUUUUUCAUAAGUGAAUAUCUCAAGACAAUAAAUUCUGACAAAAUGUGUUUGCAAAUAUGUACAUUAUUUAAAUCGCUCUAUUAAGAAGUAUAAAUUGCAUUGAAAAUUUAUCAAAAGGUAAAAAAGAUUAAAUAAUAACUUAUAAUAUAGUGCAAUUAUUUAUAUUCCGUCAGUAUUUGCCCUUUCAAAAACCCAUCAUAAUAUUGUUAAAUGGCUCGCUUGAAAUGUUGAAAGCCCUUUUGAUUAAAAUUAAUUGAGAAAAAAAAAUAAACUUUUUUGAAAUUUUAAAUUAACUCAAGUUUGGAGUUUAGGACUUUUUCAAAUGUGAUGCGUGUUUUUCUUACUCGCGCUUCGCGCUGUUUAUGGUGAGCUGGUCAGAAAAAAAGCGUUACAGCGACCGUGAGCAAACCACCCCGGGGAUGAUUUCUUCUCCUGCUGCAGCAGGAAAUCAUCAAGGAAACCAUCAACUCCUAGCAUCGGAUCGGAAGAAACGGAAAAGACUCAGCGCUACCGCCAAGGCGCUGUAGAAGAGAAUGCCGAUACGAUCGCUGCACUGAACCGAUUCCAAGCAGGACACCGAGUUAACUCGCUUGUUGUUCCCCAGGAGUAUCCCACCGGGGGUAUACGAACUACAUUAACGUGAUGCAGUUCCGGUUUGCCGACCAUGCAGUUUGUACGGCCCACUGCCGUAUGUUUCUUAACGGCACCGAGACUAAUUCUGGAUUUCUAGUGCCGUAGCUUGCCUACGUUUGCUGAAUCCGAAUCUGACCCACUUUCGUCUUCCGCGCGAGAACAGAUCCUACAACCACAGGCUACAGAAAAGAGAACAGCGGGAUGGUGCAGCGUAUUUUGGGAACGUUCAAAAAUUACGUUCAUGAUUUGGGGGAGGGAGGGGGGUCUAGAAAAGUGUAACAGUACGUGUAUUAGGUAUAGGAAAAUAGUGUGACAGAGGGGGGAGGGGGUCUAGAAAUCCCGAAAAACGAUGGACGUAAUAAAUGAACCUUCCCUUUGGCGGUUUUUUUUUCUAGUUAAAAGUUUUAGCUUUGCUUUGUGCGGAAGUCGUUCAAUAAAUAAUUAUCAUAUUUUUUGAAAUAAUAAGCCAACAUAUUCUUAGCCAUUUCCGAAGUGCUUUGGUCGGCAUUUUGUUAUUUUUGAAUAUCUGUUUCCCCAAGCAGGAACUUAUAUAGUUCCCUUGCAAUAGCAGUUAUUUGAAAACAGCAAAUUGCUUGAAUACGAUAUUCUUAUAGUUGAAAUAAGUAAAAUCUUGCAAUAAAGCAUACUGUCGAUAAUAA